rnacentral:rRNA from 1 species
CCCUUAGAUGUCCUGGGCCGCACGCGCGCUACACUGAUGCAUUCAACGAGUUCUACCUUGGCCGAGAGGCCUGGGCAAUCUUUUGAACCUGCAUCGUGAUAGGGAUAGAUUAUUGCAAUUAUUAAUCUUGAACGAGGAAUUCCUAGUAAACGCAGAUCAUCAAUCUGCAUUGAUUACGUCCCUGCCCUUUGUACACACCGCCCGUCGCACCUACCGAUUGAAUGGUCCGGUGAAGCCUCGGGAUUGCGGCGAGUUCCCUUUAUUGGGAGUUUGUCGCGAGAACUUGUCUAAACCUUAUCAUUUAGAGGAAGGUGAAGUCGUAACA